CCGCGUAAAACCGGUUACUCCUACGGGAGGAGCAGUAGGGAAUUUUCCGCAAUGGGCGAAAGCCUGACGGAGCAAUCUCGCGUGAGGGAUGACGGCCUAUGGGUUGUAAACCUCUUUUUUCAGGGAGGCGGUACCUGAAGAAUAAGCAUCGGCUAACUCC
rnacentral:rRNA from 1 species